AUCAGGGUUAGUGAGGAUUUCAUUUCCGACAAGGAGAUAUCGGAUUUUUACCUCGGGGUAGAAAGGCACAACAUUGGUCUUCACCCAUUGAUCGGAUAGAUACUGGCUUUUGGAGAUGUUGGCAAUGAGUUCGUUGGGUACCAUGAUAGAGACUAUGAUGUCGGUGUCCUUGAGGACCUUAAGGAUGUCUGGGUUGGCAUCGUAGAUUUUGAUGCGUUUGGCUCCGAGAGAUUUGACAAGCUCCACUGACCGCGGCGGUGAUGGGAGGUUGUUUCCCAGCUGGCCCCAAUUUAUUCCCACCUUGUUCGAGAUCUCAGCGCUGCAAGUGGAAACAAUGAAAGCAAAAAUGAAGAGAUGAACAAAACCCAUCACCGUUGCUGCUCUCUUC
rnacentral:misc_RNA from 1 species